UACUGUAAGUAGAAAUAGACACUGCAUCUUUUCAGCAUCCUCAAUAGCAUCACUGCCCUUAAGAUCCUUGAAACAAUUAAUCAUUAGUCUCACAAAACACUUUGAUGCAAGUACCCAUAUAGGUAAUGUUGACUGGUUAACGCGACUAGCUUUCGGACAACGAUACUUGAGUCGCAUUGGUACAAGUAAUGACUCGAACAUAUGUUGCAUGGUCCCGCGAUUUAAAAAAUCUAAAGAAUGAUUUUCGACAACAUUUUCCGCGUUUUCAAAUAUUUUUUUGGACAGGCAAAUUAAGGUAGGAAGAGAUGCUCUAAUUGUUUUCUCUUCGUUGAAAGCAUAAGUUAAGACAUCGGACCAUAAUUCUAAUACCAAAUGGUUUAAUUUAAAUUUGCUUAUCAAUAAGUCUGUAAGCGAUUCAACGGCAAGCUGUAAAGAAGAAAGAAAAUCGACAUCUAACGCGAAAGAAG